rnacentral:rRNA from 1 species
AUUGAACGCUGGCGGCAUGCCUUACACAUGCAAGUCGAACGGCAGCACGGGAGCAAUCCUGGUGGCGAGUGGCGAACGGGUGAGUAAUAUAUCGGAACGUGCCCAGUCCUGGGGGAUAACGUAGCGAAAGCUACGCUAAUACCGCAUACGAUCUAUGGAUGAAAGCGGGGGAUCGCAAGACCUCGCGCGAUUGGAGCGGCCGAUAUCAGAUUAGGUAGUUGGUGAGGUAAAGGCUCACCAAGCCGACGAUCUGUAGCUGGUCUGAGAGGACGACCAGCCACACUGGGACUGAGACACGGCCCAGACUCCUACGGAGGCAGCAGUGGGGGAAUUUUUGGGACAAUGGGCGCAAGCCUGAUCCAGCAAUGCCGCGUGCAGGAUGAAGGCCUCGGUGUAACU